CCUACGGGUGGCAGCAGUCGAGAAUCAUUCACAAUGGGGGAAACCCUGAUGGUGCGACGCCGCGUGGGGGAAUGAAGGUCUUCGGAUUGUAAACCCCUGUCAUGUGGGAGCAAAUUAAAAAGAUAGUACCACAAGAGGAAGAGACGGCUAACGCUGUGCCAGCAGCCGCGGUAAUACAGAGGGCGCAAGCGUUGUUCGGAAUCACGGGGCGUCAAGCGUGCGUAGGCGGUUUCGUAAGGCGUGUGUGAAAGGCGCGGGCUCAACCCGCGGACGGCACAUGAGACUGGGAGACGAGAGUACGGGUGGGCGCACCUGCAUUCUCGGUGUAGCAGUGAAAUGCGUAGAUAUCGAGAGGAACACUCGUGGCGCCGGCGGGUUCCUGGACAUUACCUGACGCUGCGGCACGAAUGCCAGGGGAGCGACCGGGAUUAGAUACCCCGGUAGUC
rnacentral:rRNA from 1 species